rnacentral:lncRNA from 10 species
GGAGGCAAAGAAUAAUUGACAGAAGGUAUAGAAUUACAACCUUGACAGCCAACAUUAUCUACAGAAGAAGGAGAAACAGGAAUUUCCUGCUGAGAUAAUUUACCACCUUCAGAGUAUAGACUUGUCUUCUAUUAAUCUAUAGAGGAAAGCUAUGCAUCCCUCCAGCAAACUAUGAAUAUGUCCAAAAAGUGUUUUCAGGUUGUUCUGUAUUUUUUUUCAACAUAUUAGCUGUCCAAGGGAAAAAGAUAGAAGCAGAGCCAUGAUAAGCAAAUGAAAAAAUUUAAAAAUAUAUAUUUAUAGUAACAAGGUCUAAAUUGGGAGAAUAUCUGGUUUUCCAAAAUGAAUACAAGGGACUCUAGAAAAAUAAUGAAAAACAUUCAACAAUAACAGUCAGCUGAUGGUAACUGAAAAUAUAUUAUACACAGGAUGUGAAAUCUUCAUGUAUGGACGAUCAGCUUUUUGUAUACACAGAUUUAGCAGGUCAGACUGUGGGAUUUGAGUAAGCAUGGAGUUUGGUAUAUGUGGGUGGUCCUGGAACCAAUUCACCAAGUAUAUUGAGGGAUUACUUUAUUAUUUGAUUUUCUGUAAGUAUAAUUACCAUCUACUUCAAAGAAAAUUUCUGUAU